rnacentral:misc_RNA from 1 species
CCAAUAGCGUAUAUUAAAGUUGUUGCAGUUAAAAAGCUCGUAGUUGAAUUUCGGGAUUAGUACGUUGGUCGUGCCUUGGUACGUACUGGUGUAACUGAUUCCUCCCUUCUGACGAACCGUUAUGCCAUUAAUUUGGUGUGGCGGGAAAUCAGGACUGUUACUUUGAAAAAAUUAGAGUGUUUAAAGCAGGCUCGCGCUUGAAUACAUUAGCAUGGAAUAAUGAAAUAGGACGUUAAUCCUAUUUUGUUGGUUUCUAGGAUCGACGUAAUGAUUAAUAGGGAUAGUUGGGGGCAUUAGUAUUCAAUUGUCAGGGGUGAAAUUCUUGGAUUUAUUGAAGACUAACUACUGCGAAAGCAUUUGCCAAGGAUGUUUUCAUUAAUCAAGAACGAAAGUUAGGGGAUCGAAGACGAUCAGAUACCGUCGUAGUCUUAACCAUAAACUAUGCCGACUAGGAAUCAGACGAUGUUAAUUUUUUAAUGACUCGUUUGGCACCUUACG